GCCAGCAGCCAUAUCACCUUGCAACUCACAACUGGUAACCCACUGAAGCUAAGCAGGCGUGAGCCUGGUCAGUACCUGGAUGGGAGACCUCCUGGGAAAAACUAAGGUUGCUGCUGGAA
ensembl:rRNA 5S_rRNA 5S ribosomal RNA